rnacentral:rRNA from 1 species
GAGUCUAGCAUGUGCGCGAGUCAUUGGGAUUCGCUAAACCUAAAGGCGCAAUGAAAGUGAAGGUCGGCCUCGCGCCGACCGAGGGAGGAUGGGCUGUCCGUCUCCGGACGGCGCCCCGCACUCCCGGGGCGUCUCGUACUCAUCGCGAGUUGAGGCGCACCCAGAGCGUACACGCUGGGACCCGAAAGAUGGUGAACUAUGCCUGGUCAGGACGAAGUCAGGGGAAACCCUGAUGGAGGUCCGUAGCGAUUCUGACGUGCAAAUCGAUCGUCGGAACUGGGUAUAGGGGCGAAAGACUAAUCGAACCAUCUAGUAGCUGGUUCCCUCCGAAGUUUCCCUCAGGAUAGCUGGCGCUCGUAUUUUACGAGUCUCAUCCGGUAAAGCGAAUGAUUAGAGGCAUUGGGGUCGAAACGGCCUCAACCUAUUCUCAAACUUUAAAUGGGUGAGAUCUCCGGCUUGCUCGAUUGAAGCCGCGAGAUUUCGGAUCAGAGUGCCAAGUGGGCCAUUUUUGGUAAGCAGAACUGGCGCUGUGGGAUGAACCAAACGUGGAGUUAAAGCGCCUAAAUCGACGCUUAUGGGAUACCAUGAAAGGCGUUGGUAACUUAAGACAGCAGGACGGUGGCCAUGGAAGUCGGA